rnacentral:lncRNA from 1 species
AAAGAACGCAAGAAAAAAGAAUUAAAAGGGAAAUCCCCUUUCUCUGCUAGGGUUCCCUCCUUCCCACUUCUCCGAUCGCGCUGCCGUAAUAGUCGACGGGCGGAGGCGAAAGACUGGCCUUUUAACCCCGCUUUUAAGUGUAGUGGAUGACACCAGUGAGGAGGAGCCGAAAGAGAAAGAGGAGAAGUCUAACCCCCUUUAGCCCGACCCCGACGACAACGAAGGGAUCUCCGUCGACGGAGCCACGCGGCGGUUUCAGGUACUUCCUUUUCUUCUCUUUUUAUUAUUAAUUUUUUUACUAAAACCGACUUGCAAAAGAAAUGAAUAAAAGAAAUAAAAGAGAAAAAACGCAAGGAAAAACAGUUAAGCAAAAGGAAAAUAAUCAGAUUCAACCUUUUAAAACUCCGUUCUAUUUCUGAUUUUUUUGAUGUGCAUUCGUAAAAAAAACUUACAAGGGGAUCCUAUGGCUUUUAUAGCCAAAUCAUAUUAUUAAACUAUCCUCUAUCUGCCUAUUUACUGCCAUUGAUGUUAGCAUGCUCUAUGGUUGCAUUCAAUUUCUUUGCAGGUGUCAGAGGCGUGGCGAUGGCGUGCGAGGAGAUGAAGCGACGUGCAUGGAAAGAGGUGGCGGUCAACGGCGCCCUAAGGUUUCUCCUUUGUUGCUGCAACAAAUUGUUUGUGGGCUAGGGUAUGUUAUUUGGGCUGGCAAAAUUGGGUUUAUUUUUUUAUGUAAAAUGGACUAUGGGUAUUUUAUUUGUUAUUGGGCCCGGGCGAAAUCUGGGCUUUACACAUAACAUAUACAUUAAAAUUAUGAAGAAUGAAAGACAUAUACAUAGAUUUACAUAUAAAAUCUUG